rnacentral:rRNA from 1 species
AGCGGCGGACGGGUGAGUAAUGCAUCGGAACGUAUCCUGAAGUGGGGGACAACCCAGCGAAAGCUGGGCUAAUACCGCAUAUGCUCGGGAGAGGAAAGCAGGGGACCGCAAGGCCUUGUGCUUUGGGAGCGGCCGAUGUCCGAUUAGCUAGUUGGUGGGGUAAAGGCCUACCAAGGCGACGAUCGGUAGCUGGUCUGAGAGGAUGAUCAGCCACACUGGGACUGAGACACGGCCCACACUCCUACGGGAGGCAGCAGUGGGGAAUUUUGGACAAUGGGCGCAAGCCUGAUCCAGCCAUGCCGCGUGCGGGAAGAAUGCCUUCGGGUUGUAAACCGCUUUUGGUCGGGAAGAAAGGGCGCAGGCUAAUACCCUGAACUGUUGACGGUACCGGCUGAAUAAGCACCGGCUAACUACCUGCCAACAGCCGCGGUAAUACCUACGGUGCGACCGUUAAUCUGAAUUACUGGGCGUAAAGCGUGCGCAGGCUGUUCGUUGUGUCUGAUGUG